ACUUUUUCUGCUUGUUUGUAGCAAAAUUCUUCAUAAUGUGCCUUAUCAGUGCUGUAUUAGUAAACCAUUUUGCUGAUGAACUGUUUUGAAUGGACCGUGGAGUUUAAAAGAGCACUUCACUCCUAGGUACAGUUUAUGUCAGUGAUUUCUGGUUUAGCAUUUAUUUUUUUCUUAAAGAUGCAAAUAUACUGCAAACUCCUGGGGAGUAGUUAUUGCCAAUCAUGCAAUUUAAGUGGAGAAGUCAGAGAGGGGACUGUGAGAUGUGGCAAGUUCUGGUGCAGAGUGGCUGCUGGCAGUGCUGCAGACACAGGACAGCUCUGCCCAAGGCUGCUCAGCACUGGCUUCGGGCACACUUCACCCUCCGUGCCUGGAGAUGUGACCGGGACCGCUGGGAGAGCAGGGAACACUGACAGGGGAGGGCUGCAGCAGUUCUGGAGAUCUCCUGGCCCAGGGGGAGGAUUGCCACGUGAACAGUGCCAUGCUAUUGCCACGUCUGCACUGGAAUGCUGUUGCUGCUCGUGGUGCCAGUGGCUCUGCAGCCUGGCUUUGGGAAGCUCAGGUGUGGUACCAGUGGCUCUGCAGCCUGGCUUUGGGAAGCUCAGGUGUAGUGCCUCCCCUUCUCCCCUGCACUGCCCUGAGCCUGCAGCAGGGCACUGAGCCCUGGGAGAAGGGCUCUGCACUUGCACUUCAGUAUUCCCCACAAGGCCCCACAGGGAAGGGCAAAACAGGAAACAAACCAGUAAAAUAAGGAGGACCACUUCACAUUACUUUUAUUACCAACAAGUAUACUUGUUCAUUGUAACCACUCUGCAAAUUGAAUUGUUUAGUUUGAGGAAUGUAAAUUAGCAUAUGAAAUCAGCAAGCAAACAAAAAUUUCCUUAAUAACUUAAAAAUACACUCAUUUUGGAGUUCAGCCUAGAGCAUAUUUUAAUGGCACGUGUUUUGGAACCUUAAAUACACUGUUUUUUCACUCAGGUUGUCAACAGAAACCUAUCUUUAUUGCCCUCUCUCAGGCCCCUCCAUAUGUAAGCACAGCCCCUACUUAUCUGAUAUUUUUCCUCUUUUUGGGAUUUAUCUCUAAGAAGUAAUGCACCUCUGUGCUGUUUAGAUUUCAUGAAAUUAUUCUUAAUGAUUAAUUGUGUUCUUAAAUGCAAUAUCACUAUUUUUUUUUUUUUGCAGGACUCUUAAUCCUAACUUUACUGCUGGGCUUAAUUGCUGCUAGCACUGUGAGCACCAGCAAAUGCUGGCCUGUAAACUUGUCAGUAUUUGCCAUGGUUUUUAUCAAAUGUUCUUUG